GGGGUUGUAGAUCAGUGGUAGAGCACUUGCCUUGCACGUAUGAGGCCCUGGGUUCGAUCCUCAGCACCACA
rnacentral:tRNA from 1 species